CGCGCUGGCGGAGUAGCUUGGACUUUGAGAGACCAGAACAUUUUCAAUAAAUAGCCAGGCCGUUCCUGGUACUGUCAGUCAUGCGGUCAAUCACAGUGAUAGUCGUUCUACUUGUGUGUGUGUGUGCCAUCUACGGCGGUCCAGUGGAAAGGAGAUCACCCGUCCUCAAGGCCUUUAAAUGUUGUCUUACCGGGUCCUCAGGGGCUUCAUCGCCUAAAAACAAGCAAAAAGGGAAGCAGACACCUGUAAACAAUUCCCCUCACGUUGGUCCAAUGUCGAAGUAUGCAUCACCAGCUGGCCUCCUCACACCAGGCCGCACACCUCCGAAGUCUCCGUCACGCUUGUUCGGGGCCUCGCCGAAAAUACUUGGCGGGACGGGAAGUAUGACCUUCCCGACAACAAAGCAGAGAAAGCCUGGAACACCUGGCCGCAGUGGUGGAAAGUAAUUUUGAAGAGUGCCCAAAGCUCUAACCAAAACGCAUACAAUACAGCAAAAUUAGUGCGAAACGUGGUUCUUUCUUGUAAACAAUAAAUUAUCUUAGAGUACAAUCUA